AGCAGCCGCGGUAAUUCCAGCUCCAAUAGCGUAUAUUAAAGUUGUUGCAGUUAAAAAGCUCGUAGUUGAAUUUCGGGGUUAGUAGGUUGGUCAUGCCUCUGGUAUGUACUGGUCUCACUGAUUCCCCCUUCUGAUGAACCUUAAUGCCAUUAAUUUGGUGUUUUGGGGAAUUUGGACUGUUACUUUGAAAAAUUGAGUGUUUAAAGCAAGCUAACGCUUGAAUACAUUAGCAUGGAAUAAUGAAAUAGGACGUUCGAUCCUAUUUUGUUGGUUUCUAGGAUUGACGUAAUGAUUAAUAGGGAUAGUUGGGGCAUUAGUAUUCAAUUGUCAGAGGUGAAAUUCUUGGAUUUAUUGGAGACUAACUACUGCGAAAGCAUUUGCCAAGGAUGUUUUCAUUAAUCAAGAACGAAAGUUAGGGAUCGAAGACGAUCAGAUACCGUCGUAGUAC
rnacentral:rRNA from 1 species